rnacentral:piRNA from 1 species
GAAAAGGAGAAGUAGGUUC